ACAAUUGCAUUAUUAAGUAUUAUUAUCACAUAUUCUUCUUGAAGAAUUGCAACUUUUAUUGUGGAUUGCUUAGUAAUUACAGGAAUACUGCCAGAUGAAAUUUUUAACGUCAAAUGAGAAACAAAAUGGAAAAGGUGUGAUAUUUAUUGCAGCUAAAUGUCUAGCUAGAUUGCCUUUACAUGUUACCUAUAUAAAAGUUCUAAGUGAUUUAAUUUUCUACUUACUGCCAUUCAGAUGUUCAAAACACUGACCCAAUUGUCAUGCAAUUUUUUUUUUUCAACUUAUCAUCAUGGAUUAAACCUAUAAAAGCUAUAUUAUGGAGAUUCACUUGAAUAAUUUGCAUUAAAUGGAUUUUUGUACAGGAUAUAUUUUUUUCGAAAGUUCAGCAAGAGUCAACAUUACCUGUAUGUGCUUAUUAGCCAAAAAAUGUAAAUACAGGAGAAAGCUGCAGCUGCCUGUAUAAGUUGGUGAAUAAUUGCAUGUUUGCACCAUUAGCUUAAUUUUAUACCUGAUGAAUCUUUAUGAGUUCUCCUAUAUGGUGCGACAGAGCUAGAGUGGCAUGAAUAAGAACGUUUUCAUGUGAGGGUCAUCAUAAAGACCAGGAGAGUUCAGUCAGGAAGGAAGACAUGUUCUGUUGUGGGGACAUAGGGAUGGCAGGGAGGUCAGCAUGAAAGCACGCAUGUCAGCAGUACAAGGAAAAGAGGUGGGUGUUGGUGAUCUAGGCUACCCUCUUACAGAACAGCUGUAGAUUAUGCCGUACACAGCCAUGCAGGAUUUGUCCAGAAGUUGACAUGUCCUUUCACUGCCAAAAACUUUGGUCAGCAUGAAGUGGAAUGAAGUCAAAUACAGGAAGGAAAUUGUUAUUGAUACUGAAAGAAUUUGAGACCUCAGCUAUCAUCAGACACAACAAGUCAUUUCUUCCUUUUUAUUGGAAGGCGUGUAAUUAUGGAUCAGACAAAAAAUGCUAAGAAAUAUUUCAAGAAGACAUUUGGCUUCUUGAAGCUAAUUCUGCCAUCAGGGUUCUUGCCAGACAUAAGCAGAGCAUCAAAUUGUGGGUCUUGUUGUGUGUGUGUGUUUUCUUAGAUGAAGAGAAGUUCUAGAUGUAAAAAAGGUAAAAUUUUGGAGCUCGGCCUGUUAGUGUCUGUUUCAAGGGGCCCUACUAAAUAUCUUUAUGCCCUCAAAAAACCUUUUGUAAAAGAAAGAUAAAUUCCAAACAAUGUUGGUAAACUCUAUUUUGAUUUACUUAAGUGGAUAAGAUUAUGAUGGAAACACCUGAUUACACUGUCAGAGUCUAGGAAUUUUAAGAAAAACUCAGGUACCAGAUAAACUCAAGCUAUCAUAAGUCAAAUUAAUUUUCAAAUACAUCAAUUAAAAGAUGUUACACAUGCAAUGCUUAUGCAGAGAAUUUUCCAAGUUAGUUGUAGAGAUUUAAGUAUGGCACUAGAUGCAUGAAUUUAACCCUCUUAUGGUAACAGUGUUGCUUUCAGCUGGAAAUGAGGACAUAUACAAAAUAUUUGCUUACCUAAAACUAGACUUCAAUGAAGCCAUUUUCAAAAUUUUAUUGUCAUGAUCAUCCUAAGUUAAAAUGAAAUUUUAUGCAAAAGAUUAUCAAAAUUACAACAGGAUUCUUUUGCUAGUGUUACAGGACAAACGUGUAUAAGUCAAAAUACAGAACAUUUACUGAACAAAAAGAGGAAAAUGUGUUGGACAUAGAUAGUAGUUAUUCAGAAAAUGUUAGCAUAGGGGAAAACUAAGAAAUGUUAUGUAUCUCAUCUUUCUUAACUGUGAUUUCAGUGUAAGACACAUUUUUCUUCUGAGAACAGCCAGUUGUUAUUGGUGCCUGCAUCUUAAAACUACCUUGAAGAAUGUUGAGUGAAAGCUAAUUCUAAUUAAUUGCUAUUUAAUCAAUUAAUAUUUAAAAAGAGCAGCUUUACAUGCAAGAAAUUCAGGGGUAAAUCUGCAAAGAAUACAAUGCUGGCUAGUGCAACACCUAAC